rnacentral:rRNA from 1 species
GUUUGAUUAUGGCUCAGGAUAAACGCUGGCGGCGUGCCUAACACAUGCAAGUCGAACGCUCUUUUGUGGGAAACUACAAGAGGGAGUGGCGGACGGGUGAGUAACGCGUGGGUUAUCUACCUUGAGGUGAGGAAUACCGGCGAGAAAUCGCCGACAAGACCGCAUAGCCUGGAGUCUCUCCAGGAAAGUUCCGGCGACGGGACGCCCCAAGAUGAGCCUGCGUCCGAUUAGCUUCGUUGGUGGGGUAACGGCCUACCAAAGCGACGAUCGGUAGCUGGUCUGAGAGGACGAUCAGCCACACUGGGAUUGAGAACGGCCCAGACUCCUACGGGGGGCAGCAGUGAGGAAUUUUCGUCAAUGGGGGAAACCCUGAACGAGCAACGCCGCGUGCAGGAAGAAGGUUUUCGGAUCGUAAACUGCUUUUCUCGGGGAAGAGAACGGACGGUACCCGAGGAAGAAGCCCCGGCUAACUACGUGCCAGCAGCCGCGGUAAUACGUAGGGGGCAAGCGUUGUCCGGAUUUAUUGGGCGUAAAGCGCACGCAGGCGGUCUUCUACGUUUCCAGUGACAGGUGGUGGCUCAACUGCCACAGGUCUGGGAAAACGGGUUGACUUGAGGACGAAAGAGGGAUGCGGAAUUCCAGGUGGGAGCGGUGAAUUGCGGUAGAGAUCUGGAAGAACACCAAUAGGCGAAGGCAGCAUCCUGGAUCGUUUCUGACGCCUCGGGUGCGAAAGCCAGGGGAGCGAACGGGAUUAGAUACCCCGGUAGUCCUGGCUGUAAACGAUGACCACUAGACGUAGGAGGUAUCGACCCCUUCUGUGUCGCAGCUAACGCACUAAGUGGUCCGCCUGGGGAGUACGGUCGCAAGAUUAAAACUCAAAGGAAUUGACGGGGACCCGCACAAGCAGCGGAGCGUGUGGUUUAAUUCGAUGCAGCGCGAAGAACCUUACCAAGGCUUGACAUGGACUCGCACCAGCCGUAACGGGCUGUCUCUUUCGGGAGCGGGUUCACAGGUGCUGCAUGGCUGUCGUCAGCUCGUGUCGUGAGAUGUUGGGUUAAGUCCCGCAACGAGCGCAACCCCUAUCGUUAGUUGCCUAAUCUAGCGAGACUGCCACGCUAAACGUGGAGGAAGGUGGGGAUGACGUCAAGUCAGCACGGCCCUUACGCCUUGGGCGACACACACGCUACAAUGGUCAGGACAAAGAGUUGCCAACCCGCGAGGGGGAGCUAAUCUCGUCAAACCUGAUCUCAGUUCAGAUUGCAGGCUGCAACCCGCCUGCAUGAAGUCGGAGUUGCUAGUAACCGUAGGUCAGCACACUACGGUGAAUACGUUCCCGGGUCUUGUACACACCGCCCGUCACACCACGAAAGUCGGCAACACUUGAAGCCGCUGGGCUAACCCGACAGGGGGGCAAGCGUCGAGGGUGGGGUCGGUGAUUGGGGUGAAGUCGUAACAAGGUAACC